rnacentral:rRNA from 1 species
UACGUAGGGGGCAAGCGUUGUCCGGAUUUAUUGGGCGUAAAGAGCGUGUAGGCGGUUUUACAGGUCCGCUGUGAAAACUUGAGGCUCAACCUCAAGAGGUCGGUGGAAACCAUCUGGCUAGAGUCCGGAAGAGGAGAGUGGAAUUCCCGGUGUAGCGGUGAAAUGCGCAGAUAUCGGGAAGAACACCCGUGGCGAAGGCGGCUCUCUGGGACGGUACUGACGCUGAGACGCGAAAGCGUGGGGAGCGAACAGG